rnacentral:misc_RNA from 1 species
AACACUGUUAACCUGCGGUACCUGCGGAAGGAUCAUUACAGGAUUCGCAAGACUCCCGUAACCACUGUGAACUUUACCUUUUGUUGCCUCGGCGGGUGCCGGACUCGCUCCAGCGCUCACGCCCGCCGGCGGCCCACAACUCAUUGUCUGAUUCUAAGCAUCUCCGAGCUAUACACAAACGAAUCAAAACUUUCAACAAUGGAUCU